ACUGUGACCAAGCUGGAUCCUCAAACCAAAUACACAUUUAGCCUCCUCUCUGUGUUUGAGAACGUCACAAGCACUGGAGUCAGCUUUUCUGCAGUAACUGUGCACAAAUAUAUUAUGACGGUGAAAGUUGGUAUAAAGCCAUCCAGCUUAAAUGCAUCACAAAUAGAAGAACUGGUGAAAGAGCAUCUCAAAAAAAUUGAAAAGUCUGCAGAGUUAAUCAAAUUUACUCCGAAG